AGAUAAGACUCUUGUUCUCAGUGUCCUUGAUGGAAACGGCAAUGAACUUUUUGCAGAUUGGACCAUCUCGGAAAUCCCAAAGAUCGGAAACUAUUUUUUUUCUCAGAAUCGUCCACACAGCAUUGAGCCUUAGGAAUUUCUAAGAAGGAUCUGGGAUGAAAAACAAUCUUUUGAAAAGGUAUUUGUGUAGCUUCACUUCAGCAAGAUUCAUGGUGGGUGUUAGACAAAGUGCUGGUGUUAAGCCAAACCAUGUUUUUCAAAGACUCAUCUGGCCUCAAGGUUGGCAGGAUCAGAGUGGCCUCCCAGGAUCUAUCACAUCCUCAGAAGAGUUGGUUCAACUGGCAUGUACCCAGAUCUCUUUGAGCUAGUAUGACACUCCCUUGAGUCAAAGGCUGCCACAUCACAUCUCCUUUAAGUCCCCCUAAGUACGACCCCAGAAGUAUUGACAAAAUAGUGCUAUUCCUGAAGAUUUCAGGAGGACAUAAAUGAAGAGACUGAACUGCAAGGUACAAAAACUUCCAUCUUUGCUAAAGACCCUCAUCCAGGCUGGGCACGGUGACUCACGCCUGUAAUCCCAGCAAUUUGGGAGGCCGAGGUGGACGGAUCACCUGAGGUCGGGAGUUCAAGACCAGCCUGACCAACAUGGAGAAACCCCAUCUCUACAAAAAAUACACAAUUAGCUGGGCGUGGUGGCACAUGCCUGUAAUCCCAGCUACUAGGGAGGCUGAGGCAGGAGAAUCUCUUGAACCUGGGAGGCGUAGGUUGCGGUGAGCUGAGAUCGUGCUAUUGCACUCCUGCCUGGGCAACAAGAGUAAAACUCCAUCUCAAAAACAAACAAAAAGUCCUUAUCCGAUAGUCAUGCCACUCUAUCUGGCCAUGUAAUUUCUCCUCCUGGCUUUCUGUAGCAACAGCCUUCUGAGGAACCUCACUCUGCCGUUCAAAACCCCUUCAACUUGUACCCUUCAUCAGCAAAGUACUUAGCUCAACAGGUAUGCCUCUGGGGGAACUCAUCCACAUGCCAUUUAAGGAUAUUUCCAGCAACAUCAUCUUCACUACCCCAGGAUGGCAUUUUAGAGUGGAUGACGUGCCUGCUGGAUUUGUUGUACUCGAGCGAGUUAGAGAAAACGCUACACUUUGAGACGAAUUAAGAGUCUGUUUAUUUAGCCAGCGGCUAAGAAAUGGCUAACGUUUAAAGUUCUCUCGACCUCGAAGUAGAGGCUAGAUUUUCUUUUAUACUUUGGUUUAGAAAGGGGAGGGGGUCUAGUUAAAACAAUUUUACAGAAGUAGGCAAAAAAGUUAAAAGGAUAAAUUGUUAAGGAAAGUAAACAGUUCUAGGUCUAGGGGCUUUAAGACUAUUACAAGGUGAUAGACGCGGGGCUUUGGGCGUUAUCAAUUGGACGAAUUCCUGGGAACUGCGGAUAUUGCUCGCCACAGUUUCUUAUCAGUUAAUUGCAUUCUUCGAUGUGCUGGGAGUCAGCUUGCACAAGUUAAGUCCUUGAGGAAGGGGCUGCCAGUGAAAGAGCCAAGAUGGAGUAUGUCUGGCUCUCGUAGCUAAGGGAGAGUCAAUUCAGGUGGAAACAAGGCUAGGUGAUUAAAAGAAAGGGAGAGUCUAAAAACAGGGUUAGUAAAAACAAGGUUGGGCAUUACAUUCCUCAUUGUGUUUUUGGGGAAUCAAAUCGUUGAUUCUUUAGUUAUAACAAGGGGUUUAUAUUGAGUUUUAAGAUACAUAAGUUUGACAGAAGCUAUGUGUUGUUUUACAAAAUUAAUAAACUAAUUUAAUAUACAAGGUCCAAAAAUUAGACUUAAUACUAGGAUGGGGAGGGGGUCUGGCUAACUUAGUAAUUAGAAUAGUUAGCUCUGGGUUCUAGUUGAACAUGCUUUGAUACUAGGGGAUGUUAUUUUCUUGUUCUUGUUGGCGCUUAUCUAGAUUUUCUUGCACUUUCUGGAGUGUAUCUUUUAUGACUAAGAAUGGUGGAGGAACAGUUAAAUCAACUUUGUCAGGGUGUUUCUGGAACAUAGGGUUACUUAGAUCAGUUAAAGGCCUGAUUGGCUUGGGUGGGCUUUAUGAGACUAGGGUUUUUUUGGAUAGUGAACAUAGACUUAACAUUAAAUCCUGGGAUAUAGAAUCUUAAUCUUCAUGACAUGCCAUGAUACUAUUGAGUUGAAUUAAGGUCAUGGACAGCUAUAGUAAGAGGAUUACAAUUUUUCUAGUACAUAAUUUAGGAUGAGAAGCACGACUUAUGGAAAGAGUUGAAGAUCUGGUUGAUCUUUUAGAGUAGGUGGCUAAAGUUACACGUGUCUAAUCAGGGCAGAAAAACUGAUAAGUAUCUUGACAGCUAGCAUCAGGGUGAUUUCUAGGACAGAGGUAAAAGUCAAUAUUUUGGAGUCUUUUUUCUGCACUUUUGGAGCUUCUACACUUAGUUUGGCUCUUGGAGUGUCUGAAUCUUGCUGCAAGGUUGACACUUCCUGCUCCUGGGACUGGCAGAUUGUGUUGUUUUUCGUGGGUAUGGACUGGCUUUGGGAAUAGUACAAAUAAAUCAACUGCAAAGGAGACUUCCUUGGAGGUACUGGCCUUCUAAGUGGUGUUUGCAAAUACACGUCCUGUUGUGAAAGAGGUGAGGAGAAAGGAGUAGGAAGGUACAGAGGACGUAACUGGCAAAAACAAAUAAGUGAGGUAGUAAAAAGAAUGUAUCUAAUGGCUUCACCUGACUUAGGCGCAGUUUUAAGGGGCCUGACUUAGGCCUGGGGACUUAUGUUUUUAGUUGGGCUCUGUUGGCCUUUUUGAUGCGGGAGUGAUGAAUCUAGGCAGGAAUGCCAUCUACUUUCAGAGCAGCUGGCGUCGUGAGGAUGACGGUGUGAGGUCUUUUCUAAGCAGGAGUGAGUCUUUCUUUUUGGAACUUUUUAACAAACGCUAGGUCUCCUGGCUGGAAUGAAUGGCAGGACUUUUUCUGGUCAGGAACUGGAUUGGGAUGGGCUCCUCGAACAAGUGGCAGGAUGAUCUCUUGUACCAGUUGGAGAGACUAUAGGUACUGUAAUAAAUUAGUUUGUGAUAUUUCUGCUAAUUUGGCAUCCCUUAGCUUAGGCAAGAUAGGCAGCGCCUUCUUAUACAUGAUUUCAAAGGGUGAGAACUUAGCCUGGUAAGGGGUGCACCUUACUUUAAGUAGGGCUAAAGGAAGGAGACUUACUUAAUUUACACCGGUUUUUAAGAUUAAUUUUGUAGGAGUGUUUUUUAGGGUGUGGUUCACGCUUUCUACUUGCCUGGAACUCUGGGGCUGAUAGAGCUCCAGGCAAUAGAGGCACAAUGGAGCUUCUAUUGAACGUUUAACGCCUUACUGACUGACUGAGCUAUAGGCGAGGUGAAGGCUGCUCUAUUAUCAGACUUUAUGGCAGCAGGCAGCCUAUAUUGAGGGAUGAUUUCAUUGCGUAAAAACUUAACUACUGUGUUGGUGGUUUCGUUUUCGGUAGCAAAUGCCUUAGUCUAUCUGGAGAAGGUGUCUACUAGUACUAGAAGACAGACAAGGGGAGGGGCUCCUGUGAUGGGAUCAGUCAGAUGCCUGCCUGGCCGCUCCCCCUGAGGGGACUUGGGCUCCUCUUAACAUUGGCAGGCUGGUAUAAACUUCCGGCUCAGAUCAAGCUAUGCCUGAUGCUGCCUUAAGCCUUAUGAGGUCGCCACGGAACCGCAGAAACUCCUGGAGGGCAGAGCUGUGUCUGCCAUCUUCAUCAUUGCAUUACCACCACCAAGCACAGUGCCUGGCACAAAAGAGUUGCUCAAUAAAUAAAUCAGGAUGAAUGGAUAAAUACAUGGAUAGGCACUUUGAGCUACAGAUGAGUUUAAAUACUUUGUGUUUUUCUUAGUCAAACAUGUGCAAUUAAGCAUGUGAUAAAUGAUAUGAUGACCACACCUGUGUGUUGCCUGAUGUUCUUUGCAAUCACUAAAUGAAGUCAAUUGUGCCUGUUUUGACAGUUCUGUUUUCAACCUAAUGAUCUGUUUCUUUUAACUUCUGGCUGUUGGCUUUGUUUGGGUUUGUUAGCCUGACAAAGUGGCAGACAUUAGUAUUUGCUCUUUUGUUUAAAUGUCAUGAACUUUAAAAAUGCCUUUGCUUUUGGUAAGAAACCCUAGUUAGGACAGUCUAGCAGUCAGGAUGAUUUGGGUUCUGGUGCAGUAACAACAAUCC
rnacentral:lncRNA from 10 species